GCACUGGUGGUUCAGUGGUAGAAUUCUCACCUUCCACGUGGGAGGCCCAGGUUCAAUUUCCAGCCAAUGAA
rnacentral:tRNA from 1 species